rnacentral:tRNA from 1 species
CAAGGUAUAGCUCAGUGGUAAAGUCUGUGCUUAGUAUUCACGCCAUCCUGGGUUCAAUCCCCAGUACCUCCA